rnacentral:lncRNA from 1 species
AACAGUGGAACACCACAACUCUCAAAUAAAACUUUUCAUUCUUUCAGCACUAAAGAAAUUUCUAGUGAAUAAAACUAAUAAAAGAAGGAGAGAGAAUAUGAUAGAAGAGUUGAUAGUUAAGAAAAUCUAUGUGUUUAGAAUUGAGAAAAACACAUCUUUAUAUAGAAAAAAUACAACUAAAAAAGGCAGCAAUCCAUGGACAUUACCUCUUCCUAAUAAAUUAGAGCAGAAACCUAAUCAACUAGGUUAAGUCAAAAAAG